CGGAACCCGGGGGGGGAAAAACCCCCGGGGGGCGCUCAACUCCUGGGUUCCUCCUCUCCCCCCCCGAACAUGUCAAAGUUCCGGUCUGGGGGUCCGGGGGUCCCCCCCUCCUGCCUCGCCGGGGCCGGUCCUCCCGGACGCGCUGUUGCAAAGUCAGGGAGGGACCGCGGAGGGCGGGAGGGGGACCCGCUGGAAACCGCUCUGAUCGGCGGCCCCGGGCGGGAGGAGCGGCCGCCGGAUCAGGACAUGCCCGGUGGCGGGCAAGGGAGGAAAAGAGAGAGCUUUCCGAAAAUUAAGACGAAAUGCACAAAAAGUCCCCCGCCUCGGGCCGCCUGAACCUGGCGACCCCCGCUCCGGCGGGUCUGCCCGAAGGCGAAUGUCACCAGGAGCCCAUUGCAGCCGGAGCCGGAGAUGCUGACUUUCCAGACAAAGGCUCGGCCGGCUCUUCUCCCCGGGCGGUAAACAAGAUUUCCUGCUCUUUUUAGGGCCCGUCCGCGAGGCGCGCCGGGGCUCGCGGCGGGAGGAAAGGGAAGCCGCGGCCGCUCGGCUGCGCCGGGCUUGGGCCGCGGGUUGCUCCGAGCGGGGCUCGCGGCGGCCGGGGCGGGCGGGAGGAGGCGGCGCCUUCCGCGCACGGCCCUCCCUCCCCCGAGUGCCCGGGCUCGGCGAGCGCCGUGCGUGCCCGCGAGUUUGCAGCCGCCGCGCCGGGCCCGGGAGUCCGCGCCGAGCUGCAGUGUGCCUCGGGCCGGGGAGGGUUGCAAGCCCAGCGCUGGAGAGGCGACGGGCCGUGGGAGCACGAGCCCCCAGCCUUGCCUGCUUUCCUGGCUGGCUUCAGAGAUGGAAUCCUGGACGACUGGCAAGUGCAAAAGCGAGGAAGAAAAUGAAGUACAGAGAGCACAGGAAAACAGAGGGAGCGAGAAGCGGACACAGCCUUGUACCUCUCCUGGCCUGCGCUGCUGUCCCACCGCCCGCUCCGCAGGGCUGCCAGAGUAGGCUUGCCUGUCACCACUCCUAA
rnacentral:lncRNA from 12 species